CAGGGAGAAGAUAAGACAACACUGCAUAGCCUGUCACUUAAUGCACUGACACCAGCAAGUGCUGCUUUUCCUCAGGUGAGAGGCUGACCCAAGUUCACUGCAUAUCCUGGGGUGCUGCCAUCAGCAGCAGGCUGAAUAGUUAAAAAAUUCCACGUAAUCAGAAACUAAGCAGAUGCUAAAGAAGUCCUGGAUCAGAGCUACAGCUUAAAAGGAAAAGAUAAAUGAAUGAACAGAGACCAGAAGUUUGCAGUGUCAUAAGCCACAGCUUUUAUUGUCUUUCAUGAGUAAUUGGAGAUUAAAGCAGGAAAGAAGAGCAUGAUAUAUCAACAGCAUUAAGCAUACUACACACCGAGAGGAAAAACUAACAGCAGAACUAACGCUUACAAAGGAAAAUCACACUGUAGAAACUUCAAAGCACAUUACAGGCAUUUGGUGAUUAAAGGCAAGUAAAGAAAAGGAGAGAUCUGCAGUCUAGCAGAGGAGGAAGAGCACUUAGGGUCAUAUCCAUAUCCAUAUCCAAGGUGGGAGUGAGCCAGGUGGGAAGCAGCAGGCAGUGCCGCAGCAGAGGAGGUGAGCACAGCCCUGCCUGCCUCAUGCCCAGCGAUUUAGUUGCCACAGCAGCCACCACCGCUGCCACCGCAGCAGCCUCCGUUGUUCAUGGUGUAGCAGCAGGUCUGCAUGGGCAUGCAGCAGGUCAUGGGGCAGCAGCACUGCGAGGGGUAGCAGCAGGGUGUCUUGCAGCACUUCCGACUGCUGUAGCAGCAGACAGAGUAGUUAUUUCCACCGCAGCAUCCACAACCUCCGUAGGGCAUCUUGUUGGUAGUGUAGGCAAAGCUGGAAAGCAACAGAAAGAGUUUAUUUUUCUCUGCCUGAAUUUGACCACUGUCUAUGCAUAUUAAACCUUGCUUAUCCCCAUGUUUAUCCCAUACUGGAUGGAUGGUGUAGUCCCUUCUGUCCAGAAUCCCAAGGUAGCCUGUCCCUGAGUUAUCCAUAUUCUGGCAUUAGCCAGCAGUGUAAUUGGCAUAGUGGCCAGCACUGGUUCCAUCAGAAAGAAGCCACCCAGAUAGAUCUCCAAACCAAUCCCUCCAAAUUGGCCCCAAACAAGACAGUGUAGGAAAUCAUGGAUGACUUCCUACAAAGUACACAGAAAUACAGUAGAGUGCAAAAGAGAAGGCAAGCAGUAAACUCCAACUUACCCUGUUGACCAGUGAGGACAAGUGAGAGGAACACAAGGAGUGAAUGAAGAGCUCUGUGAUGGGCAGCCUUUUAUAUGGUUCAAAACCACCACCCCCCUGGAAAUGAGGCAUUUUUCAGCAAUUCUGACUUCACUGUUUACCACCCAGUAUAUGCCUCUCACGUGUCUUCCGGUACUUAAUCUUUACCUCUUUCUGUUUGCUCACCACCUCAAUUCCGCACCAUAAUUAGUUGUACAUAUGAACAACAGGUGCAAAUUUUCUAAUGAAUUUACAUUAAUGGGAAUCGGAGGUAGCUAUAAGGUAUUCCCAUCCACUUCCUAAGGAGUGAGUGACCUUGAGACACAGAAGCACCUAACAAUUUGCCCAGGGGGGGCGGGUGCUGAAGCAGUGGGAGAACUGUGUCUGGAACUAGGAAAUGUCAUCAGUCACACGUCCCCUCUGAGCUUGGCUGUGAUUCUGGGGGACCAGUGGAAACUAUUGGCAAAUGUGAUUCAUUCUUUCCUGCCUCUGAGAGGUGGCUGUGCGUCCAAAGUUGACUGAAAAAUUUAUCUUUUUUUCAGACUUGUGCUUAGGUCUCUCACCAUGGUGCUUUGUCCUCACACCUCCACUUUUUAUUUCUUGCGUAGUAUUAAAGAUUUUUUUUUUUUUUAAUUUUCACUCAUAAAGGGCUCUGUUAAGUCUAUAUUAAGCAGCUUUCAAAGCC
rnacentral:lncRNA from 1 species